UGUCAUAAAUGGCUCUUAUUAUACAUCCCAUCAAUACCUAGUUUAUUGACAGUUUUUAGCAUGAAGGGCUGUUGAAUUUUUUCAACUGCCAUAGACAGCUAGCUCCACUGCAAGCCCAGAGCCCCUGUAACCCUGCCUAUGCUCUCCUUCUUGAUCCCCUGACUGCUUCACAAGUAUCACACUUUAGAUUGUUACUAAUGAGGCAGU
rnacentral:lncRNA from 1 species